CUCUUUUAUGCCAUAUAAAAUGUUCCUUAAGAUCAUCUUGUUUCUCAAGUCUUAAACUAUAAAUUUUAAGAUUUGUUCUUUAUAAACCUCUGCUUUCUGAGAGCCUGCACUCUGAUUGGCCAGAUGGCCCAGUCUGUUGUUAUUGGUCAACUUAUAGUGUGUAUUGGGGGAAAAACACUCAUUACCAUAUAUGACAAGUACUUCCCUCUCAGUGAUUGUAACAGCUGUACUCAGUAUUAUGAUAAUAUUUGGAAAGCCCAUAUUUAAUUUAAACUAUAAAAAGUAUGCAGUUGGGGACCAUUUCAGCUAUAAUCUCUGACUUCAUGAGCUUUCUGUAAACCUAUCAUUUUCCACAAGUAUGAACUUUCUUAAUGCUAAAUAUUGACAUAUCUGCAAUUAAAUGUCAUUUGUAAGUUAUUCUAUCAUUAAUGCUGGUCUAAGUGUGUCUCUCUAUAGUUUCUCCCUCAGUGAUUGCAGUUGCUGUUAUUUUGACUGUAUUGUUUGUUCUGAUGAUUGUCAUUGUUAUCUGGAUGAGAUGUCAAAGAAGAGCUGACAAUGCAAAAGAGACUAAUGAGCCUGGGGUCACAGAUACAAACACAAGUUACAAAGAAACAAUCAACGUGCCCAGUCAUCCCUCUCCCAACAUUAAUGAGCAGAAAGAUGAUGCGAAUUAUUCAGAGGUUGUCACAUACUGUAAACUUCAAGCCAACAAGGUGAAUGAUACAGUGACUUAUUCUUCCAUCCGAGGAGAAAAGGCUAAAGCACAGGAAAACUGUAGUGAACUUUAUGCCUCGGUUAACAAGAUCAGACAUUAAUGAUAAAAAAAGUUUCAUAAAAGUUUAAUAAGAGUAUCAUACCAUUGUAUAUACUGUUUUAUAUGAUCAAAUCUAGGUGUUGUUUUUUUUUUAUUAUCAGUCUUUUGGCUUGUAUCAUGUUUGUAUCAUGAAUAGAUGUACAACGUCAUUUGGAGUACAGUUUUAGAUCAAUAUCCUCUUUAAUGGCUAAAGCUGAAAGACUUGUUCCUCCUAACAAAAACUAGCUAGAGGAACUUUGAGAAGACAAAUAAACCUCUGUGACAACAAGAUCUGCAGUGUCAGCUGAACAAUUUCCAAUUUCCAGUGAUUGCUUAAAUACAAUUACCAGUCGACAAAUUUCACAUCAAUCUAUUUAUAGGUGUUAAGAUUCAGUUCAACUAGUGAAACAUUUGCCAGAAUUAUUAUUAUUUUUAAAUUGUGACAGCAGAUAGACAUUUUGUUCUGCUUUAGGAGUCGAAAGAAAUCUUGAGUUAUUUUUGUUUUAGGAACCAUAUUAUAGUGUUGUGUUCUCAUAUAUACAACCCCAAAUCUGUAUGUCUGCAGUUCUUGCCUAUCUCCAAUAUAGAAUGUGUGUCACAUUUUAAAGCGCAAAGUGCAACACCAAAGACCCUGUACUGUUGCCUACCUAAAGACUUGUUUGCAGGAAAAAUGGGACAAAAUUACACCUGAAACACUUCAUCACUUGGUGUCUUCACUCUUUAAGUGUUGUGAAUAGGAAUGGCAAUAUUACAAAGUGGUGAAUGCUCUACUGUUAUACCUUUUUUUUUUAAUGUGUUGAACCAAAAUUGGAAUACAUGUUUACAAACAAUAACAAUCUUGAGCAACACAUUAAGUAAUGUGUUGUUGUAUUUUCUGCAAUGAAAUAAAAGUUAAAGUAAG